AAUGAACGCUGGCGGCGUGCCUAAUACAUGCAAGUCGAGCGGACAAACGGGGAUCUUGCUCCGCUGACGUUAGCGACGGGUGGGUAAUGACCAGGUGGCUAACCUGCCUAGAGGACUGAGAUAACUUCGGGGAACCGGAUCCAAUACCGGAUAAGAUAUUGAACCGGAGGGAUCUAUAGUGAAAGACGUAUCUGCUGUCACUAAGAGGUGUAUCCACGCCGCAUUAGCUAGUUGGUAAGGUAACGGCUUACCAAGGCAACGAUGCGUAGCCGACCUGAGAGGAUGAUCGGCCACACUGGAACUGAGACACGGUCCAGACUCCUACGGGAGGCAGCAGUAGGGAAUCUUCCGCAAUGGGCGAAAGCCUGAUGGAGCCAUGCCGCGUGAGUGAUGAAGGUCUUCGGAUUGUAAAACUCUGUUAUUAGGGAAGAACAAAUGUGUAAGUAAACAUGCCCGUCUUGACGGUACCUACAGAGAAAGCAACGGCUAACUACGUG
rnacentral:rRNA from 1 species